rnacentral:tRNA from 1 species
CCAAGAAAGUUUGCAAGAGCUGCUAACUCAUGCUUCCAUGUAUAAUAGCAU